GGGUGAGGAUUGGGGUGGAAGCACCUGUGAGGACACCUUGUCCCAGUCAAGCACGAGCUGGCGGCGCAUAUGUUAUCCAGGAUCCUGCUCAGGGGUUUAGCCAUCGGCGACGAGAUCCAAAAGAUGGCCACGGCGGCAGUGGUGGCGGCAGUUGCCCCGGGUGGUGAUGUAGAGGGGAGGUACCAGUAGCAGGUGAGGAUACUGUGCAAUUUCGCUGUGAAUCAUUGUUGAUUAUUUGUCGUACUUCUUGUGUUUUGAAGAUUUGAUUCCACUCUUCUUGAUACCCAAAACAAAUUCGUUUCAUGAAUUCAAAAGAUACUGAAUUUAAAUGUCUGGUUUAUAUUUCGGGAGCUGACUCUUUUUAAAAAUUGACAUCUGAAUGUAAAUAAAUGCCCUUGAUAUGUUCGAAUUCCUAUCAUCCAUUGUUGCAAAUUUCCUCUAACUCAAUACAUCAGUUUCUUAUCUUUUUUUUGGUCCACCUUCGCUCAUCCUAACAUUCAUCGCCAUCAAAUGUUUUACAUUGUUAGCCUGCUUAUUUGUUUGUUUAACAGGCUUGCAAUAUGUUCUACAAUGCUGAUAGUGAUGGAGGGGUUUGUUUGAGGUGUACUGAUGUAGAACCCUCCAAGUUUUCAAGUAUUUUAGUUUCCUAUUUUUUGCAAUUUAGAAUGUUUCAUGAUACAUUUUCUUCUGCAAUCUUAUUUAGGUGAGCACGAAGAUCUCUGAGAUUUUCUUCUGCAUUUGUUUCGUGCGCACACAUAAAUGGAUGACUCUUCUUCUUGGAGCCCUAGGUUGUGGCAAAACCCCCUAUUGCUAGCACUUGCAGGAAAGCUCAACCAAAACCAAAAGGUAUUUUUCUUUUUCUUCACUUCAACCAAGUCACUCAUGUACAAUGAGCAGCACUCAAACCACAAAAUCAUUUGCAUCUCAUUCAUUUUUCCGAAUGUUCAAUUUAUGACCUGGCUUUUUGGUCAUGGACAUUUCUUCAUUACUUACCAUUUUCUGAUGUUCAUGGUAAGGCGCGACCGUUGGUGGUUUUCUGGUGGUACCUCAAGGAGACCUUCUUCCCAGGUGACCCAUUCCACGUGGCGGUGCCGGUGUGUGAGCGAGCUGCCAGACCGCACGUGGCGGCGGCGCUUCGAUACUUCUUCCCGUUCCUGGAGUGGGCGCCAGCCUACGGGCUGGGCAACUCAAGUCGGACCUCAUCGCCGGUACUUCUUCUGGUUCCUUGAAGUUUGAUAUCCAUGCCCCCUUGUUAGAGCGGUGGAGAGAGAUGCGACAUGGAGUGAGGGAACUGUCGGCACCGGCAUAAGAGGUUGAUCUCCGCCCCGGUUUCCUCUAUGAUUACAUCAAGGAUGUAUUUUGUUGCUUGUUGGUUCUGUGUGCGGGAGCUCGAUGAUUGGGGGAGUUUAGAUCUGUGGUUUCAUUCUCAAAUUCUAUUCGUAUGGAUUGAGAUAGAGAUGAGAAGGUAGGUCCCUUAUUCAUGUAGGUUUUCUCUGUACCACUAAAUGUUUGUUUGAUUUUUUUCCAUGUAGGUUCUCUCUGAUUUUGCAUUAGUCUAUGAUCUUAGUCUUCAUUCUUUUAUUUUUAGUUUAUGAGAUUUCAGUAUUUGAUUCACUUAUUCUUGGUUUGGCAGAUAUUCAGUAUCUCUGUUCUUAUUAUUCAAUUUUUUUAUUUCUCAGAUUAGGAUUUUAGUACCUUUUCUUUUAUUAGUCAUCAGUUUUCUUCUUUAUUCAAUCAUAUUCAGCCUUAGUUCUUGUUCAGUCUUUCUUUAACUUCUUUUGUCCUUAGUCUCCAAUUUUCCUCUUUCUUCAGUCAUAUUCAGUCACACUUUGUUCAGUCUUUCAUUAUCUACUUCAGUCUGUAGUGCUCCUUGUGCAUAUAUACUUUGUUUUGCUCAUUCUUCUUUCUUAGCUUUGUUCUCUCAUUUUGUAUCGGCACAACCAAUAAUUCACAAGAUCAUCUAAUCCACAUAGGCAAAGGAAGAUUUUUCGUAGUAAAAUUCAGUAUAGUGGAGGGAAAGGAAGGUUUUUCGUUGUAAAAUUCACUACACUAGAGGGAAAAAGUUUCAAUGUUAUUAUCUAAUUGUUUCAUGGUUUUCUUAGUCAUGACUUUCUUUUCUCUACCAGCUUUAGGGGGAGGUCCAUCUAAUUUGACUUUGCCCUGGGCUGUCUGCAGGUGGGUUAAACAACCAGAUUUGGUGGAUUAGUUGGACUUGUAAAUAAUUUUUUCUGAUCCCAACACACUUUAUAUAGAGAAGUAGUAUUUCUUCAUAUUGUUACUUUUUUUGUUUGCUUUUGUGCUUAUUGCUCAUAUUGUUAAAUGUUUGUUGGGGCCAGUUCUUUUGGGCAAUUCUCCCAGAAUUGACCCCCUCCCCAGCUUCUCCCAGAAUUGCUACUCCAUCCUUUUUUACAAUUCCUAGCUAGUUAAGGUCUAAUUAGCUAGGAAUUGUAAAAAAAGAUGGAGUGGCAAUUCUGGGAGAAGCUGGGGAGGGGGUCAAUUCUGGGAGAAUUGCCCAAAAGAACUGGCCCUGACUCUUCUUUCUCUGGUCACCUUCAGUGCACAUGUUUCUUCAUUAUUUCAGUAACUACCUUCUCAUUGUUCCGCCUUCAUUUCUCAAAUCCAUGCUUAUCAGUUAUCCCUCUGUAUGCAUCAGUGAUCAAUAUUUCUCUUCAGCCUCAUUAUUUCUUUUCGAGAGUGCGCCAAAGGCUUACCUUAGCUUUAUAGAAGGAAGGAGUGAUAUUUACAAGUCAGCCUCAUUAUUUCAUUAAGUCCCUGCUCUACCCAGCCUUCAUAAAUUCAGUAUGCCCCUGUGCAUUAUGUAUAAAGACUUUUUUGAGCAUUCUUAUUUUUUAUCUUUUUGUUUCACCAGGAGGUUUUAUUACUAACCAGAGGAAGUUUCUUCUCCCACUUCGUUUUAGCGCAUGUUGUUUCAGAUGUGUUAUGUAAUAGUACUACAUAGAAGAGUUUUUUGCUUCAAGAAGUGUUAUGUAAUAGCAUAAAAACUACAUAAAUAGUUCGUUCUGUUCUGUUUUUUUUUCACUAGACAUUGAUGCUAUUUGUGCUCUUUAGCAGUGACACCAUAGUCAGUUAGCAUUUUCUGUCUUUUAGCUACACUGAGCCUUUGAUUUGUUUGUACCAUUAGGCUGUAGGGAAAUAUUACUAUAUGUAACAUGUAUUUUUUUUGUUCUUAUAAGAUGUUGUUUCUCAUUUCUGAAAUUUAUUUCUUGAUGCAGCUUCAUUCGGAUUUAUGUGAAUAUAAGCGUAAGAGGUCCACUGGGAAUGAUACAAAAUAAUUUCAGACGUGAGUAUCCGGAUCGCAUUGCUACUGGUCGUCUCUUGCGAUGGCGUACAGCGGGCUUUUGACAAAGCCAAGUCAUGGCCUCAUGAGGAUGCUUUUGGAUUAACUGUAGUGCAUUGUACCGUUUUAUGCUCCAUGCGAGAGUUGUACAUAUCCUCAUUAGAUGUACCCCUGCCUAUGAUGGUUCUGAACUCAAAUAUUAGAGUAUCUGUAUAUUUGAUCAAUGUGGUACUAUUAUAUCCUAAUGUUAUAACAUAUAUGCCCGUAUUGAUAUACAUGAGUGUGAUUAAGAACAAAACAUGGCAGCCCAAUGUGUUGAAACAAGAUAAGUGCGC
rnacentral:lncRNA from 1 species